rnacentral:pre_miRNA from 1 species
UUUUUACUUCCUCCAUCCGAAAAUAUUUAUUAAAAAAAUACAUAAAAAUGAAUGUAUCUAGAAUUAAAAUACGUCUAGAUACAUCCAUUUCUCCGACAAGUAUUUUCGGACGGAGCGAGUAUAUG